AGAGUUUGAUCCUGGCUCAGAACGAACGCUGGCGGCGUGCCUAACACAUGCAAGUCGAACGGAUUUGAGGGGCUUGCUCCUCAAGUUAGUGGCGCACGGGUGAGUAACGCGUAGAUAAUCUGCCUGAUGAUCUGGGAUAACACUUCGAAAGGGGUGCUAAUACCGGAUAAGCCCACGGGGUCUUUGGACUCUGCGGGAAAAGGGGGGGACCUUCGGGCCUUCUGUCGUCAGAUGAGUCUGCGUACCAUUAGCUAGUUGGUAGGGUAACGGCCCACCAAGGCUACGAUCAGUAGCUGGUCUGAGAGGAUGAUCAGCCACACUGGAACUGAGACACGGUCCAGACUCCUACGGGAGGCAGCAGUGAGGAAUAUUGGGCAAUGGACGCAAGUCUGACCCAGCAACGCCGCGUGAAGGAUGAAUGUCGUAAGAUUGUAAACUUCUGUGAGAAGGGACGAAAAAACAGGCUCAUACCCUGUUCUGACGGUACCUUCAGAGGAAGCCCCGGCUAACUACGUGCCAGCAGCCGCGGUAAUACGUAGGGGGCUAGCGUUGUCCGGAUUUACUGGGUGUAAAGGGCGCGUAGGUGGACUUGUCAGUCAGAGGUGAAACCCUGCAGCUUAACUGCAGAACUGCCUUUGAUACUGCAAGCCUUGAGUCUAGAAGAGAAAAGCGGAAUUCCAGGUGUAGUGGUGAAAUACGUAGAUAUCUGGAAGAACACCAGUUGCGAAGGCGGCUUUUUGGUCUAGAACUGACACUGAGGCGCGAAAGCGUGGGUAGCAAACAGGAUUAGAUACCCUGGUAGUCC
rnacentral:rRNA from 1 species